GUUUUUUUAGUAUAAAAGUAUAGUUGGCUUCCAACCACCAGGUCUAAGUAUAAUCUUAGAAAAAACA
rnacentral:tRNA from 1 species